rnacentral:rRNA from 1 species
ACGCGUAGGUAACCUGCCUGGUAGCGGGGGAUAACUAUUGGAAACGAUAGCUAAUACCGCAUAAGAACAUUUACUGCAUGGUAGAUGUUUAAAAGGUGCAAAAGCAUCACUACCAGAUGGACCUGCGUUGUAUUAGCUAGUUGGUGAGGUAACGGCUCACCAAGGCAACGAUACAUAGCCGACCUGAGAGGGUGAUCGGCCACACUGGGACUGAGACACGGCCCAGACUCCUACGGGAGGCAGCAGUAGGGAAUCUUCGGCAAUGGGGGGAACCCUGACCGAGCAACGCCGCGUGAGUGAAGAAGGUUUUCGGAUCGUAAAGCUCUGUUGUUAAGGAAGAACGUGUGUGAGAGUGGAAAGUUCACACAGUGACGGUACUUAACCAGAAAGGGACGGCUAACUACGUGCCAGCAGCCGCGGUAAUACGUAGGUCCCGAGCGUUGUCCGGAUUUAUUGGGCGUAAAGCGAGCGCAGGCGGUUAGAUAAGUCUGAAGUGAAAGGCAGUGGCUCAACCAUUGUAGGCUUUGGAAACUGUUUAACUUGAGUGCAGAAGGGGAGAGUGGAAUUCCAUGUGUAGCGGUGAAAUGCGUAGAUAUAUGGAGGAACACCGGUGGCGAAAGCGGCUCUCUGGUCUGUAACUGACGCUGAGGCUCGAAAGCGUGGGGAGCGAACAGGAUUAGAUACCCUGGUAGUCCACGCCGUAAACGAUGAGUGCUAGGUGUUAGGUCCUUUCCGGGACUUAGUGCCGCAGCUAACGCAUUAAGCACUCCGCCUGGGGAGUACGACCGCAAAGGUUGAAACUCAAAGGAAUUGACGGGGGCCCGCACAAGCGGUGGAGCAUGUGGUUUAA